AACGAACGCUGGCGGCAUGCCUAACACAUGCAAGUCGAACGAAGCCUUCGGGCUUAGUGGCGCACGGGUGCGUAACACGUGGGAAUCUGCCCUUCGGUUCGGAAUAACAGUUAGAAAUGACUGCUAAUACCGGAUGAUGACGUAAGUCCAAAGAUUUAUCGCCGAAGGAUGAGCCCGCGUAGGAUUAGGUAGUUGGUAGGGUAAUGGCCUACCAAGCCGACGAUCCUUAGCUGGUCUGAGAGGAUGAUCAGCCACACUGGGACUGAGACACGGCCCAGACUCCUACGGGAGGCAGCAGUGGGGAAUAUUGGACAAUGGGCGAAAGCCUGAUCCAGCAAUGCCGCGUGAGUGAUGAAGGCCUUAGGGUUGUAAAGCUCUUUUACCAGGGAUGAUAAUGACAGUACCUGGAGAAUAAGCUCCGGCUAACUCCGUGCCAGCAGCCGCGGU
rnacentral:rRNA from 1 species